AUACGGGAGGCAGCAGUGGGGAAUUUUGCGCAAUGGGCGAAAGCCUGACGCAGCAACGCCGCGUGAGGGACGAAGGUCUUCGGAUUGUAAACCUCUUUUAACCGGGAAGAACCCCGGCAGGGCAAAUAGUCCUGUCGGCUGACGGUACCGGUAGAAUAAGCCACGGCUAACUCUGUGCCAGCAGCCGCGGUAAGACAGAGGUGGCGAGCGUUGUUCGGAUUUGUUGGGCGUAAAGGGCGCGUAGGUGGUCUUUUAAGUCGGUGGUGAAAUCCCUGGGCUUAACCCAGGAAUUGCCCUCGAUACUGGAAGACUUGGGUGCGGGAGAGGGUAGUGGAAUUCCCAGUGUAGAGGUGAAAUUCGUAGAUAUUGGGAAGAACACCAGUGGCGAAGGCAGCUACCUGGACCGCAACUGACACUGAGGCGCGAAAGCGUGGGGAGCAAACAGGAUUAGAAACCAGAGUAGUCCA
rnacentral:rRNA from 1 species